rnacentral:rRNA from 1 species
UGGGGAAUAUUGCGCAAUGGGGGCAACCCUGACGCAGCCAUGCCGCGUGUGUGAAGAAGGCCUUCGGGUUGUAAAGCACUUUCAAUAGGGAGAAAAGGCCCACGGCUAAUACCCGUGGGAGUUGAUGUUACCUAUAGAAGAAGCACCGGCUAACUCCGUGCCAGCAGCCGCGGUAAUACGGAGGGUGCGAGCGUUAAUCGGAAUUACUGGGCGUAAAGCGCGCGUAGGCGGUCUGUUAAGUCAGCUGUGAAAGCCCCGGGCUCAACCUGGGAACUGCAGUUGAUACUGUCAGGCUGGAGUACGAGAGAGGGAGGUAGAAUUCCAUGUGUAGCGGUGAAAUGCGUAGAUAUAUGGAGGAAUACCAGUGGCGAAGGCGGCCUCCUGGCUCGAUACUGACGCUGAGGUGCGAAAGCGUGGGUAGCAAACAGG